GAUGAAGAACGCAGCGAAAUGCGAUAAGUAGUGUGAAUUGCAGAAUUCAGUGAAUCAUCGAAUCUUUGAACGCACAUUGCGCCCCUUGGUACUCCAUGGGGCAUGCCUGUUCGAGCGUCAUUUGUACCUUCAAGCUUUGCUUGGUGUUGGGUGUUUGUCCUGAGGGACUCGCCUUAAAGUAAUUGGCAGCCAGUGUUUGGUUUUGAAGCGCAGCACAAGUCGCGAUUCAAAGCUAUACGCCCGCUUCCACAAGCCUUUUUCACUUUUGACCUCGGAUCAGGUAGGGAUACCCGCUGAACUUAAGCAUAUCAAUAAGCGGAGGA
rnacentral:misc_RNA from 1 species